UGUGUAGGAAGCUUACUGGAGUAUGGCAUCUGCUCUCUCUAAAGUUGAUGGAAUUGAUUACACUGAUCCUGAAGAGGUCCAAUUUUACUUUCAUGCUACUGAGCCUCGAAAUAUCAAUUUGGUAAUGUUUUGUUUUACUUAACUAUUCUUUGUACUUGGAUUAGCUCGAGUUGUUGAUCACAACUCUCAUAGAUCUGGAUGCAAUGGAUGGGAAAAGUAGUGUUUCAUUAUUGGCAGAAUGUUCAAGCUCUCCUGAUGUUAAUACUAGGAAAGCAUUGGCUAAUGCAUUGUCUGUAGCUCCAUCCAUGUGGACAUCUGGAUUGUAGUUCAUGGCAUUUCCCAUUUUGUCCUCGCUUGUUCCACCUGCGAUAGCAAGCACGAUAGCCAUACAACUCAAGAUGGAAGAGUUGGUCCUACUUUCAAUCAAAAUAUAUCAACUUGUUUGAUUUAGGCCAAUUGCAUUGCAUCAUCAACCAUUAAGAGUCAUUGCAUUGUAUUUCGAGCGGUCUCCAAUUGAUUCAUUUUUAAUCCAACGGCUGAGAAUUGUUUGGUUUGGGGGUCUGUGUGGGCCCAUUUGGACUGUUUAAUUUUGUCUCUUUCUUCAAACUUACUCACUAUUUAUAUUUUUUUUAUAUAUAUAUCUCUGUUUUAUAUUUGCAGAUAUGAGUGAGAAUAGUUCAUUUCUUUUGUCUCCUAAUUUAUUAAGCUCAGAAAUAUUAGAAGAAGAUGAUGAUGUUUUUUCAACUGGUUACUUAGAAGAUGCCUUGUUUGAAUUCACUAAAAAAUCAAAGAGAAGAUGUUUAUUGGUUUAUACUGAUCAUAAUCAUAAUCAUGAAAAUCUUCUCUCUAAGGUACUAAUUAUAAUUAUACUUCAUUUUUAUUAUUAUUAUAUAAUAAUUAAUCAAUUAAUCUCAACUUGGGUUUUUAUUUAUUUUUUACAGAGUUACUUGGACUCAUCAGCAACAUCAUCAUCAUCAAUAUCUAAUUGGGAAAUUAUGUCAUCUCAUGAUCACGAGAAUAAUUUCAAUUUUAUGACUCAUAAUUAGUGAGUUCAUUAUUUCUAUAAUUAAUGUGCAUUAUUAUUUGGAGAAUUAUUUUAUAUAUUAUUUUUUUUUUAAUUUAGUAGCUAUAUGGAUCUUGGUAUUUUAGUUGCAAUUUAAGUUGCUCUGUUAGUUUUUAUAUAGAUUUUCGUAAAAAUAUAUAAAAAAAUUACUUUAAAUAUAAAAAUAAAAAAACCUCUUAUUAUUAUAUAUAUUUAAUUUUGUAUAAUAACAUAUUAAUUAUGUUUUUAAUUUUGGUAAUCAUCUUAGGUGGGAUAAUUUUAAACAGAGGAGAUGAAAACAAUAUCAUCAAUGUCAGAAGAAGAAAAAUCAUCACUUAAUUCAUCUUAAUAUGAUAAUAAUAAGGACCCUUUUAUCUUAAUUUUUUUUGUUUAUGUUUUGAUUGAACAUUGCUUAUUCUAAUUUCAUGCAUAUUUUCUAAUUUUCAGCAUUAGAAUAGAUAUGGAUGUUGAUAUAGAUCACUAUACUAUUCUUGGCCUACCAAUGGGUGAGGAUGGUGCUAAUAAGCUUACAGAGAAAAAGAUAUUAAAGGUGUAUACCUGUAACCAGAUAAAUUACCUGAUAAGUUUUGUAUUAGUUAUUGUUCUUAUUGUCCAUAUUCUGAUAUAAAACUUUCAUUACUUGCACUACAUUAUUAAUUUUAAUCAAAAUUGGACUUUGCAUUAUGUUAUCUUGUACAGUUCUAUUCUUUCAUAAAACAGAGACUUCAAAGUCAAAAGGACCGCAUGAGUUAAAUUUGCAUUUGGCUUUGAUUGUUAAUUAAAGUAUUAGCAUAUAUCUUUUAUGUUGUUGCAUAGCAGUUAAAUAUUAUUAAGAAUUACACAAAAGGCAAAACUAAUGAGUAAAGAAACCAAAUUAUUCAAACUAAUACGCUGAAUGAUUUUAAUCGAAGAUUCGACUGCAAAAAAAAAAAUAUAUUAUUAAAACUGUAUAUAUAUUAUGUAAUAAUGAAUUUGUGAACCAAAUUAUCAUAAAGUAUUUCAUGAUUUUAAUUUUAACAUUAUUUAAUGAUAUUUAUUUUAUUUUAUAAAUAAUCUUUUUACUUUAUUUUGGAAUAUGAACGGGAUAUAUGACAAGACUCAAUACUUUUAUUUAAAAAUUUUUACUUAAAGUCUUUGAAAUUAAUAAGUUUUUCAAAAUUUACAAUUUUAUUUUAAUAUUCAAAAUUCUAAACUCAACCUAGAAAAAAAACUAAGUGUAUAACUAGAUAUAUACGUACAUUGUACGUAACUUUAUGCUAGUAUAUAUAUAAAUAUA